rnacentral:rRNA from 1 species
GACGAACGCUGGCGGCGUGCUUAACACAUGCAAGUCGAACGGAAAGGCCCUGCUUUUGUGGGGUGCUCGAUUGGCGAACGGGUGAGUAACACGUGAGUAACCUGCCCUUGACUUUGGGAUAACUUCAGGAAACUGGGGCUAAUACCGGAUAGGAGCUCCUGCUGCAUGGUGGGGGUUGGUAAGUUUCGGCUGUUGGGGAUGGACUCGCUGCUUAUCAGCUUGUUGGUGGGGUAGUGGCUUACCAAGGCUUUGACGGGUAGCCGGCCUGAGAGGGUGACCGGCGACAUUGGGACUGAGAUACGGACCAGACUCGUACGGGAGGCAGCAGGGGGGAAUAGUGCAAAAUGGGCGGAAGCAUGAUGCAGAAACGCCGCGUGCGGGAUGACGGCCUUCGGGUUGUAAAAAGAUUUCGACUGUGACGAAGAGUGAGUGACGGUAAUGGGUAAAGAAGCACCGGCUAACUACGUG